UGGGGAAUAUUGGACAAUGGGCGCAAGCCUGAUCCAGCCAUGCCGCGUGAGUGAUGAAGGCCCUAGGGUUGUAAAGCUCUUUCGGCGGGGACGAUAAUGACGGUACCCGCAGAAGAAGCCCCGGCUAACUCCGUGCCAGCAGCCGCGGUAAUACGGGGGAGCAAGCGUUGUUCGGAUUUACUGGGCGUAAAGGGCGCGUAGGCGGCGCAACAAGUCGCUUGUGAAACUCCGUCCGGUACUU
rnacentral:rRNA from 1 species